UACGGAGGAUGCGAGCGUUAUCCGGAUUUAUUGGGUUUAAAGGGUGCGCAGGCGGGCGAUUAAGUCAGCGGUGAAAGGCAGGGGCUCAACCCCGGCAGUGCCGCUGAUACUGGUUGUCUUGAAUGCGGUCGAGGCCGGCGGAAUGUGGCGUGUAGCGGUGAAAUGCAUAGAUAUGCCACAGAACACCGAUAGCGAAGGCAGCCGGCCGGGCCUGCAUUGACGCUGAGGCACGAAAGCGUGGGGAUCGAAC
rnacentral:rRNA from 1 species